rnacentral:rRNA from 1 species
GAACUUAAGCAUAUCAAUAAGCGGAGGAAAAGAAACCAACAGGGAUUGCCUCAGUAACGGCGAGUGAAGCGGCAACAGCUCAAAUUUGAAAUCUGGCUCUUUCAGGGUCCGAGUUGUAAUUUGUAGAAGAUGCUUUGGGUGUAGCUCCGGUCUAAGUUCCUUAGAACAGCACGUCAUAGAGGGUGAGAAUCCCGUAUGUGACUGGGUGCUUUCGCUCGUGUAAAGCUCUUUCGACGAGUCGAGUUGUUUGGGAAUGCAGCUCAAAAUGGGUGGUAAAUUUCAUCUAAAGCUAAAUAUUGGCCAGAGACCGAUAGCGCACAAGUAGAGUGAUCGAAAGAUGAAAAGCACUUUGGAAAGAGAGUUAAACAGUACGUGAAAUUGUUGAAAGGGAAGCGCUUGCAACCAGACUUGCGCGCUGUUGAUCAUCCGAGCUUUUGCCCGGUGCACUCGGCAGCGUUCAGGCCAGCAUCGGUUUUGGUGGGCGGAUAAAGGCCUUGGGAAUGUAGCUUCUUUCGGGGAGUGUUAUAGCCCUCGGUGCAAUGCGCCCUACCGGGACCGAGGACCGCGCUUCGGCUAGGAUGCUGGCGUAAUGGUUGUAAGCGACCCGUCUUGAAACACGGACCAAGGAGUCUAACAUCUAUGCGAGUGUUUGGGUGUCAAACCCAUACGCGUAAUGAAAGUGAACGGAGGUGAGAACCCUUAAGGGUGCAUCAUCGACCGAUCCUGAUGUCUUCGGAUGGAUUUGAGUAAGAGCAUAGCUGUUGGGACCCGAAA